rnacentral:rRNA from 1 species
AUACGGAGGGUGCAAGCGUUAUUCGGAAUCACUGGGCGUAAAGGACGCGUAGGCGGGUUGGCAAGUCAGAUGUGAAAUCCUACAGCUUAACUGUAGAACUGCAUUUGAAACUGCUAACCUAGAGUAUGGGAGGGGGAGAUGGAAUUAGUGAUGUAGGGGUAAAAUCCGUAGAUAUCACUAGGAAUACCGAAAGCGAAGGCGAUCUCCUGGAACAUAACUGACGCUAAGGCGUGAAAGCGUGGGGAGCAAACAGGAUUAGAAACCCUAGUAGUCC